UACGUACCGUCCAAACGUUAUUCGGAAUUACUGGGCGUAAAGCGCACGUAGGCGGAUUUGUAAGUCAGGGGUGAAAUCCCGGGGCUCAACCCCGGAACUGCCUUUGAUACUGCGAAUCUCGAGUCCGGAAGAGGUGAGUGGAAUUCCUAGUGUAGAGGUGAAAUUCGUAGAUAUUAGGAAGAACACCAGUGGCGAAGGCGGCUCACUGGUCCGGUACUGACGCUGAGGUGCGAAAGCGUGGGGAGCAAACAGG
rnacentral:rRNA from 1 species